UACAGAGGGUGCAAGCGUUGUUCGGAAUUAUUGGGCGUAAAGCGCGUGUAGGCGGCUUUGCAAGUCGGGUGUGAAAUCCCUCGGCUUAACCGGGGAACUGCGUCCGAUACUGGAUGGCUCGAGUGUGGGAGAGGGAUGCGGAAUUCCAGGUGUAGCGGUGAAAUGCGUAGACAUCAAGAGGAACACCUGCGGCGAAGGCGGGUUGCUGGGCCGACACUGACGCUGAAGCGCGAAAGCCAGGGGAGCGAACGGG
rnacentral:rRNA from 1 species